rnacentral:rRNA from 1 species
UACGGAGGGUGCAAGCGUUAUCCGGAUUUAUUGGGCGUAAAGCGCGCGUAGGCGGCGCGGUAUGUCGUGCGUGAAAUCUCCCGGCUUAACUGGGAGGGGCCGUGCGAAACUGCCGGGCUUGAGGUCGGAAGGGGAAAGUGGAAUUCCGGGUGUAGUGGUGGAAUACGUAGAUAUCCGGAGGAACACCAGCGGCGAAGGCGGCUUUCUGGUCCGAUACUGACGCUGAGGUGCGAAAGCGUGGGGAGCGAUCCGG